rnacentral:tRNA from 1 species
GUCAGGAUGGCCGAGCGGUCUAAGGCGCUGCGUUCAGGUCGCAGUCUCCCUUGGAGGCGUGGGUUCGAAUCCCAGUUCAGGUCGCAGUCUCCCCUGGAGGCGUGGGUUCGAAUCCCACUUCUGACA